rnacentral:rRNA from 1 species
AUUGAACGCUGGCGGCAUGCCUUACACAUGCAAGUCGAGCGGUAACGGGCCUUCGGGUGCCGACGAGUGGCGAACGGGUGAGUAAUACAUCGGAACGUGCCCGAUCGUGGGGGAUAACGAGGCGAAAGCUUUGCUAAUACCGCAUACGAUCUACGGAUGAAAGCAGGGGACCGCAAGGCCUUGCGCGGACGGAGCGGCCGAUGGCAGAUUAGGUAGUUGGUGGGAUAAAAGCUUACCAAGCCGACGAUCUGUAGCUGGUCUGAGAGGAUGAUCAGCCACACUGGGACUGAGACACGGCCCAGACUCCUACGGGAGGCAGCAGUGGGGAAUUUUGGACAAUGGGCGCAAGCCUGAUCCAGCCAUGCCGCGUGCAGGAUGAAGGCCUUCGGGUUGUAAACUGCUUUUGUACGGAACGAAAAGCCUUCUUUUAAUACAGGAGGGUCAUGACGGUACCGUAAGAAUAAGCACCGGCUAACUACGUG